AUACGGAGGGUGCGAGCGUUAAUCGGAAUUACUGGGCGUAAAGCGCGCGUAGGCGGUUUAGUAAGUCGGAUGUGAAAGCCCUGGGCUCAACCUGGGAAUUGCAUUCGAUACUGCUUGACUAGAGUAUGGUAGAGGGAAGUGGAAUUUCCGGUGUAGCGGUGAAAUGCGUAGAUAUCGGAAGGAACACCAGUGGCGAAGGCGACUUCCUGGGCCAAUACUGACGCUGAGGUGCGAAAGCGUGGGGAGCAAACAGGAUUAGAAACCCCAGUAGUCC
rnacentral:rRNA from 1 species